AGGAUAUAGAUAGAUUGAAAAUCACAUGGGAUGAAGUACUAAGAAAGUACGGCCUUAAACAAAAUGGAAUGUAGGAAAAGGAUUCAUGCAGCCGACCAAAUUAGUUUAUGACUAAGGCUUAGUUGAGUUGAGUAGUUUAUAAAUGGUCUGCAUUCAUGGAUCUUCCAAAUUACUUGGGCAUCUCUUUUCAAUUUUUCCCAUAUACUAGUGAAUCCAUGGUUGCACUGGAUGCUUUAUAUGAAUGUCCUAGUUCACAGAAGGCUGAGUGACUUAAGAGUCUUGCUAAUGCAAACUUUGUAAUUUGCCUUUGUAGGUUUUUCCUUAUGUAAAUUUCAAAAGAUCCUACUGAAUAAUUGUUUCUGUUUUAUGUUCUGGAUGGAUGUAUAUGUCUCUCUAGUCCUUGUUGUCUUAUUGUUGGCUUAUUGACAUCUUGGACCCUUUGCAUCUUUGACAUGCUUUCGAAUUGAGAACUUUGAAUGCAUCAGAAACUGACAAAAUUAUACAGAUCAGAAUUAUAGAUAUAUAGAAUUAUAGUUUUGUAUAUUAAAAAAAUGCGAUUGUGAUGCUGCUUUACAUAUCUAUGUUCCUGUAUAAGAUUAAUGGGUUACAUCAUGUCAUUCUUCCUUGCACAUUGGUUAACUCAACAGUUUUUUACUUACGGUCCAAAUUUUCUCAAACAUUAUCAAGUAUAUCCUUUUUAAGGAAAUAAUGAAAUUUAACUUGGGU
rnacentral:lncRNA from 1 species